rnacentral:rRNA from 1 species
GUGAGGAAUAACACGAGGAAACUUGUGCUAAUACCUCAUAAGUCUUUACGGAGAAAGCUUUAUGCGCCGAAGGAUGAGCCUGCACUUGAUUAGUUUGUUGGUGGGGUAAUGGCCUACCAAGACUGUGAUCUAUAGCUGAUCUGAGAGGAUGAUCAGCCACAUUGGGACUGAGACACGGCCCAAACUCCUACGGGAGGCAGCAGUAGGGAAUAUUGCACAAUGGAGGAAACUCUGAUGCAGCGAUGCCGCGUGAGUGAAGAAGGCCUUUGGGUUGUAAAGCUCUUUCGUCGGGGAAGAAAAUGACUGUACCCGAAUAAGAAGGUCCGGCUAACUUCGUGCCAGCAGCCGCGGUAAUACGAAGGGACCUAGCGUAGUUCGGAAUUACUGGGCUUAAAGAGUUCGUAGGUGGUUAAAAAAGUUGGUGGUGAAAUCCCAGAGCUUAACUCUGGAACUGCCAUCAAAACUUUUUAGCUAGAGUAUGAUAGAGGAAAGCAGAAUUUCUAGUGUAGAGGUGAAAUUCGUAGAUAUUAGAAAGAAUACCAAUUGCGAAGGCAGCUUUCUGGAUCAUUACUGACGCUGAGGAACGAAAGCAUGGGUAGCGAAGAGGAUUAGAUACCCUCGUAGUCCAUGCCGUAAACGAUGUGUGUUAGACGUUGGAAAUUUAUUUUCAGUGUCGCAGCGAAAGCAUUAAACACACCGCCUGGGGAGUACGA